AAGUCGUAAGGAUCAUUAACACGUAUCCAAACGUUAAACAACCCCGUGAACAUACAACCUGCUCUGGUCGCCCGCUCGCAUGGACAAGCCCAGUAAAUCAAGCCCCGGAAAGUUUUUGAUUUGGGACCUCUGUGCGCGUGAGAAAAACUGACAGCGAUUCAUAGAAGCGGUAGGUCAAGAAGAUUGCUAGAGGUCGACCACCGACCGGCUUCCGUGUAUACCGAGCUAACACCGCUCCCUUCCGAACCCCACUUUAUUGCCUUGCCUGUAAGCAUCCAUACGGAUGGGCAGGCCCCCCGAACAACUGUUAACAAUGGAUAUCUUGGUUCUC
rnacentral:misc_RNA from 1 species